CCUUCCCAGACCUCAUUUAAGGGUUGGUAGUGGGGGCAAGGGUAUUUUGCUGGAUAUCUCUUUGUCCCUUAGGCUUUCUGAAGGCGUUCUGUGAUGCAGCAUUAUACCACGGUGAAUGGGAAUAAAGAAAACAACAAUCUGGAAAGUUUUGGCCCUUUUAUCAAGUACAAUGCAUCAAUCAGUGGGCACGCAUCCAAACCCAGCCUUCUGCUACCCUCUAUUGGGAAGAGAUGAGAUGAAGGAAACCCAUGUUCCUGCGUCAUCUGAAAUACUCCGGGAUACUCCUCCAGCCUCAGCUUCUAACCUGCAGACAGGGGGAGAUCUGAUCCAAGCAGUGUCACUCACAGCCAGUUGAUUCUGAGAUUUCUCCUGUUCUGAGUAUUCUUUUUUUUUGGUGUGUCUGGAGACACGCCAGCCUGACACUGAGCUUUUGUGCUGUGUUCCAGCCAGUCCCUCUGGGGUGACCCAGAGAUGUUUUGUCCUUGUGUACAGAUUGUUUCCUCCCAUGCACCUACAGAGCUCCCUUAAACAUCGGUGACAAAGGAGUGGCUACUGGGCAACAUCCCUAUGGGACAGGAGGGUUCUGGGGAUGUUGGGAUCUGCUGGCUGAGGGACUCUUUGUCUUCAGAUAGAAGACAGUGUUUUGCAGCAAAGAUGGGUAAUUCAAGUGGAACGCAUCCCAGGGGGUGUCGGCUCCACCAGCUGCUCCCUCUUACUUGUGGCAGAGGUAACACAGACGACCUGUGGGGUGUGCAAGUAACCCUCUGCUUUAUAGUGGUGCUUUGAAUAGGUGGAAUAGCAGCACUGCUCCCUAAGCAGGCUGCAAGUUUUGGUGCUGUUACGUGAUUGCAGAGGAAUGAGAAGUUGGUGAGGCUUCAAAUAGGUGAACGGGAGAAGAAAGGAAAGUGCCCGUAUGGCAAAUACCCGUCUUUCUGUCUAUCUGUGCUUGUCUGUGCUUGUAAUCUUGAUAGCCGGGCUUAGGGAAUAAUAUUUAACAUAGCUGCUAACAGAGUGCAAAUGGGCAUUCCUCAUAGUGCUCCUUCUGAGCCAACAAUUGCUGUCCCAAAUCACAAAUACUUGGAGCUACAGCAGAGAAAUAAAAUCAUUUAAAUAGCUGAAUCAAUGGCUGAGCUGGGAGCAGGAUCUUGCUUUUUCAAACUCCUUUUCUGCUCUCUACCCUUCAGCCCCCUGGGACUGUAAAGAGUAAAACACGGAGGUGUACCUGCAACAGCGUGCAGUUUCACUGAUCCUUUCCAAAGCCAUUGUGCCUCGCAGCCCAUGAAGAGUAAGGAGGGAGGAAAAAAA
rnacentral:lncRNA from 1 species